rnacentral:rRNA from 1 species
AGAGUUUGAUCCUGGCUCAGAGCGAACGCUGGCGGCGUGCUUAACACAUGCAAGUCGAACGCGCAGCAUUCUGUAGCAAUACAGGAUGUGGGCGCGUGGCGAACGGGUGCGUAACACGUGGAUAACCUUCCUUCAGGUGGGGAAUAACCCCGCGAAAGCGGGGCUAAUACCGCAUAACAUGACGAUGCCACAUGGUGUUGUCUUCAAAGCCGCAAGGCGCCAGAAGAGGGAUCCGCGGCCGAUUAGCUUGUUGGCGAGGUAAUGGCUCACCAAGGCUUUGAUCGGUAGCCGGACUGAGAGGUUGGCCGGCCACACUGGAACUGAGACACGGUCCAGACUCCUACGGGAGGCAGCAGUGGGGAAUCUUGCACAAUGGACGAAAGUCUGAUGCAGCAACGCCGCGUGGGGGAUGAAGCUUUUCGGAGUGUAAACCCCUUU